rnacentral:rRNA from 1 species
UACGUAGGACCCAAGCGUUAUCCGGAUUGACUGGGCGUAAAGAGUUGCGUAGGUGGUUUGUUAAGCGAAUAGUGAAAUCUUGUGGCUCAACCAUAAGGCUAUUAUUCGAACUGGCAAACUCGAGAAUGGGAGAGGUAAUUGGAAUUCCUAAUGUAGGGGUAAUAUCCGUAGAUAUUAGGAGGAACACCAAUGGCGUAGGCAGAUUACUGGCCCAUUUCUGACACUAAGGCACGAAAGCGUGGGGAGCGAACCGG